rnacentral:rRNA from 1 species
AUUGAACGCUGGCGGCAGGCCUAACACAUGCAAGUCGAACGAGUGGCGGACGGGUGAGUAAUGUCUGGGAAACUGCCUGAUGGAGGGGGAUAACUACUGGAAAAGGUAGCUAAUACCGCAUACCAUCGGAUGUGCCCAGAUGGUAUUAGCUAGUAGGUGGGGUAAAGGCUCACCUAGGCGACGAUCCCUAGCUGGUCUGAGAGGAUGACCAGCCACACUGGAACUGGGACACGGUCCAGACUCCGACGGGAGGCAGCAGUGGGGAAUAUUGCACAAGGGGCGCAAUCCUGAUGCAGCCAUGCCGCGUGUAUGACGAAGGCCUUCGGGUUGUAAAGUACUUUCAGCAGGGAGGCGUUACCCACAGAAGAAGCACCGGCUAACUCCGUGCCAGCAGCCGCGGUAAUUC